rnacentral:lncRNA from 1 species
AUGCGCUGCAGAAGGGUUGUUCUGUUAUGGUUUAAUUUGUUAUAUUUUAACUGUAUCUGUCUCUCAGAGCUGCAGAAGCAACUGGAGCAGAAAAACCGAGAAUUAAAAACGAAGAGCAACGAACUGCAGGAAAAAAGUUCAAACGGACAAAGGAGUUAAUUCAAUCGAGUCGUUUCAAAUGUGGUUUUUCAGUUCUGAGAAUAAUUGAGGUGCAGAAUCUGAUAUGGGAGUUCCAGAAAGGAGUGGAUACUCAGAGCAACAUUUACCAGAUUGCAGGUGAGUGAAAACAGCAUUUCAUUAACUACAAGGUCAUUUCAGAGAAAUACUUUGAUUAUUUUAGUGUAAAACUACUCAUGAGACAUACAUUAUUCAACCACAUCUGUAACUCGGUUGUACAUAUUUUGCACAGUGCUACAGAAAGAGCUGAAUGACCUGACUGCUGAAAUGGAGGACAAGGCCGAUGACGACUCAAAACUGGGUGAGUUUUGAUAAUAGGAUGGACAGGAAAGCUGAACAUCCCACUGGGCACAAACUGGUUAAUUCAUUGUUGUUUCAAUGUCAUUUAUUGUGAUGUGGAAACAUAUGAGGUAGGGGUGCUGAGGUUGCUGCAGCACCCCCUGAAAAUACAGAAUAAUAAAAUAUAUAUAUAUAUACACUGCUCAAAAAAAUGAAGGGAACACUAAAAUAACACAUCCUAGAUCUGAAUGAAUUAAAUAUUUUUAUUAAAUACUUUUUUCUUUACAUAGUUGAAUGUGCUGACAACAAAAUCACACAAAAAUUAUCAAUGGAAAUCAAAUUGUUCAACCCAUGGAGGUCUGGAUUUGGAGUCACACUCAAAAUUAAAGUGGAAAACCACACUACAGGCUGAUCCAACUUUGAUGUAAUGUUCUUAAAACAAGUCAAAAUUAGGCUCAGUAGUGUGUGUGGCCUCCACGUGCCUGUAUGACCUCCCUACAACGCCUGGACAUGCUCCUGAUGAGGAUGGUCUCCUGAGGGAUCUCCUCCCAGACCUGGACUAAAGCAUCCGCCGACUCCUGGACAGUCUGUGGUGCAACGUGGCGUUGGUGGAUGGAGCGUGACAUGAUGUCCCAGAUGUGCUCAAUUGGAUUCAGGUCUGGGGAACGGGCGGGCCAGUCCAUAGCAUCAAUGCCUUCCUCUUGCAGGAACUGCUGACACACUCCAGCCACAUGAGGUCUAGCAUUGUCUUGUAUUAGGAGGAACCCAGGGCCAACCGCACCAGCAUAUGGUCUCACAAGGGGUCUGAGGAUCUCAUCUCGAUACCUAAUGGCAGUCAGGCUACCUCUGGCGAGCACAUGGAGGGAUGUGUGGCCCCCCCAAAGAAAUGCCACCCCACACCAUGACUGACCCACCGCCAAACCGGAC